GCACUUUAAUUCCGGCUUGUAGCCGACUUUGCGCAGAUGGCCGCGGGCUCCAACCGCAGUUCGUGUGUACCUUCGUGUGGGUGGUCGUCGCCCAGGUCUGGUGCUCCAGACGAGGACGUGCGCGCCAUUCUGGUAAAUCCAGAGACCUUGGAUUCAUUCCAUUGUGAUGUUGCCGGGCGAAUUGCUAUCGCGCGUUCAGAGCCAUUUCGCCGAAAUAAUGAGGACGCCAUCCUCUUCGCGUAAUCGUGAACAGGUUCAAGAGAGCUUUCAGAUAUGCAUACAGCGUGGUCCCUCGGGCUUCGCCGGCCUCCAGUUGCCCAGCGCUGCGCUGGCGAGGGACAAGGAUUCUGCU
rnacentral:lncRNA from 1 species